rnacentral:snoRNA from 1 species
CCCCUCUCAGGAUCGCACCUGGAGAAUUUCCAGUACCCUACCAGUCUUGGCUUUGGGAGGGACAGUCAAGCAGAGGCCUACCCAUUCCAUUCCUAGCUUGGGCAGUGGCUAGCGAGUGGAAGGCCAUCUGCUACGAGU